rnacentral:rRNA from 1 species
UGGCGGCAGGCCUAACACAUGCAAGUCGAGCGGAUGAGAGGAGCUUGCUCCUGGAUUCAGCGGCGGACGGGUGAGUAAUGCCUAGGAAUCUGCCUGGUAGUGGGGGACAACGUUUCGAAAGGAACGCUAAUACCGCAUACGUCCUACGGGAGAAAGCAGGGGACCUUCGGGCCUUGCGCUAUCAGAUGAGCCUAGGUCGGAUUAGCUAGUUGGUGAGGUAAUGGCUCACCAAGGCGACGAUCCGUAACUGGUCUGAGAGGAUGAUCAGUCACACUGGAACUGAGACACGGUCCAGACUCCUACGGGAGGCAGCAGUGGGGAAUAUUGGACAAUGGGCGAAAGCCUGAUCCAGCCAUGCCGCGUGUGUGAAGAAGGUCUUCGGAUUGUAAAGCACUUUAAGUUGGGAGGAAGGGUUGUAGAUUAAUACUCUGCAAUUUUGACGUUACCGACAGAAUAAGCACCGGCUAACUCUGUGCCAGCAGCCGCGGUAAUACAGAGGGUGCAAGCGUUAAUCGGAAUUACUGGGCGUAAAGCGCGCGUAGGUGGUUUGUUAAGUUGGAUGUGAAAUCCCCGGGCUCAACCUGGGAACUGCAUCCAAAACUGGCAAGCUAGAGUAUGGUAGAGGGUGGUGGAAUUUCCUGUGUAGCGGUGAAAUGCGUAGAUAUAGGAAGGAACACCAGUGGCGAAGGCGACCACCUGGACUGAUACUGACACUGAGGUGCGAAAGCGUGGGGAGCAAACAGGAUUAGAUACCCUGGUAGUCCACGCCGUAAACGAUGUCAACUAGCCGUUGGGAGCCUUGAGCUCUUAGUGGCGCAGCUAACGCAUUAAGUUGACCGCCUGGGGAGUACGGCCGCAAGGUUAAAACUCAAAUGAAUUGACGGGGGCCCGCACAAGCG